rnacentral:tRNA from 1 species
GCUUGCGUAGUGUAGUGGCCUAUCAUGGUACCCUGUCACGGUACCGACCCGGGUUCAAAUCCCGGCGCGGGCGCCA